AUUCAAAUAAAAUUUUAAUCAAAAUAUAUUUAGGCUACGUUAAGACUUAAUACGUUUAAACAAAAUCUGAUUAAAAGGCAAUAUUUCUUGCCCAUCAUCUCAGGAAGUGAAAUACUCAUUUCAUAAAGACACAUAACACAAAGAGUGAAAUAUUUCAAGCUUUUAUUUUUUUUGCGAGUUUAAUGAGUUUGGAUUAUGGAUACAAACGACACAGUUGACCAACACGCUAUUGCACAGCAGUCCAUUAACAUUUACAGGAAUGAAAGGAUUGGAAUAUAUCAUUACCUGUUGGUGUUUCUAGAUAAUGAAUUUCACUUCGAGAUCACUAGCAAGAAAUAUUCCACUUUUAUGUAAUGUUCCAAUUUUCAAGAUGUACCUGUAAUCUUAACAUUUUGUACACAUGCCAUAUUCAAAUUCUUCUGAAAAUAAAAGUUUUCUUUUCUUUCCACCAAGAACGCUCAGUGAAAAGCUGAAAAUCUAACACAAUCAUCAAAGAUAAAUAAUAAUCACUGCAAUAAAACAUUUUUUAAGUCAGAGAGGUUCAAAAAAUUCAAGCUGUUCACUAAUAAUAGUAGAUGCCAGUUCAUCAUGGUUUAUUGGGACAGCUUAGUUUUUACAGUAAUGACAGGGUGUUUUGAUGUAAGUGGUCAUUGAAUUUCAUGACUUUCUGUUCAUGGUUUUGGGGGGCUGCUUCCUAUUAUCAGUGGUCAGUGGGCAGGAAUCGGAUUGAACUCUGCGCUGAUCCCACAAUCCAUCAAGGCUGACAAGAGAGACUUUAGACAUGUAACGUUCACAAAAACGACCACAUCAGAGCUUCACCAGUCUCCAAUUACCAAAGCAUCUUUGAUUUUUGGACUGUGUAUUGAAACCUGGAUAAAAGUGUAGACAGAGGAAAAGCCUGCAAACUAAACACAGAAAGUUUUAGUUUGCAUGUUAGUUUAUUCCACCGCAGGCAAGAUCUGAGCUACGACACAAUUAAUUUAAAUUUUGGUCAGCAGUAGAAAAAGUGUUGGCUUCCUAUGUGUGCCUAAAAAUUAAGGUCCUAAGAGGAUAUUACUUUGACCAAAGCUUUUAGACUACAUAUGUUAUUUAUAUUUUUCCUCUGAAAUCCAUUUCCUUAUUUUACGGCUUGUUCAAAACAAGAUAAUGUAUUUCAGCACAAAGAAAGCAUGGACUCUUGUUUGUUUACUUGUACUCUGUCUAACCUCUUUUUCCAUUACAUGAAUGCUGUCAUGCUUUUUCAGUGUCCCUUCCAUCUUUCAGUACACAUCCCAUUUUCCCUCCAUACUCUUUUAUCAUUUACUUGGGCCUGAACAUGGCUUUCAACUCACUGAAGGUGAAUCAAAUUUAGAAAACGACCCUCUCUCCCGUCCCUAUCCUUUAGUUCUCCCAAAGUAGAAGUUCACAGCUUUGCCAGUUGGCAGUCGUGCAGCUAAACUGACUACAUAGAAUUUAUUAGAGUUGAUUGGAGCAUCUGCAGGCUUUUUCCGUCUCUGGAGAUGAGUUGAGUGGAGUGGCAAUUCAGAUCGGGAGGUCAUGGACUGGUGGUGGUGGGGGGCUACACAGCAGAGCAGAAGGCAGAUUAUUAGGGUGCAUUUGAAUAGCACUGGAAUACGGGGCAGAGCUUGUAGGAAUUUUCAAUUUCAGCUGUCAUUCCCAUGAAACCGAAGGUUAGCUGCAGAAAUGAGGGUUAAAAAUUGAAUACGUUUUAGGAGGAGUAUGUCCCUAUUCCUGCUUCUGAUGGAAUAAAUUGUAUGUGUGUUUUAGUGUAGAGGUGGAUGAGAGGAGUAGAUUAAUGACUUCAUUGGCUUUUGGGAAACUGCACUUGAACCUUUUCAGAUUUUGUCACAUUCAAACCACAAACUUCAUACAAUUUUGUGAUUUUAUGGGAAACCAGAACCCACAGUUUGAUAGUAUGUUCACUGUGAUGCAGAAUUAGUUUUAACUUGAAUAUAUGAAACAUUACUUUCAACAACAGCUGUUGCAGUGAUUUGUUGAUUCCAUGUCCUUUUUCUUCUUUGCAGCUCUUCCACAGUUCUUGUGGGUCUCUUGGCUGCAAAUCUUCUCUUUGCAAAGCCAGUUUGUUUAGGUGGACAACAGCAUAUUGUGUAAUUUUCAGCUGCUGUGAAGACCAAUCCACACCUGCCAUCUCUCCAGCUCAGACAUCAACUGUGUGAAUUCUGAUCAUCACAGUUAAAGCUGAAACUAGAACUGCAGUCCACUAACAGUGAAGGGUUUCUACAAACUGUGAAAAUCUGUGUUGUUGCCAGACAAACGCCAAAUUACAGAACCCACAAACUGUCCAAUUAUAAGACUGCAACAACAGCGCUGCUGGAAUCAUGUGAAAGGCUCUGUUCAAAUAAAAACACACACACACACACACACACACACACACACACACACACACACACCAAUACAUCUGAAACAGUCAACACAAAUGGUCAUUUCUACUUGUUUCACUCUUUUCCUUUUGUUGCCAUCAUUAAACAUUUCAUAUAUAUCAAACACAGUGGAAGCUGCUGUGGUUAGGUUUAGGCACACUGCGGCAGGUUUCUUCAACUGUCUAUUUAAAACUGCAUAUUAAAAGCAAUAAAGAAAAAAUAAAUUAAUU